rnacentral:rRNA from 1 species
GACGAACGCUGGCGGCGUGCCUCAUACAUGCAAGUCGAGCGGAUGUAGCAUUACAUCAGCGGCGGACGGGUGAGUAACACGUGGGCAACCUGGCAUUAAGAGGGGGAUAACGUCCCGAAAGGGACGCUAAUACCGCGUAAAUCAACGAGAUCGCAUGAUUUUGUUGGAUAAGGAGCAAUCCGCUUAGGGAUGGGCCCGCGGCCUAUUAGCUAGUUGGUAGGGUAACGGCCUACCAAGGCGACGAUAGGUAGCCGACCUGAGAGGGUGAACGGCCACACUGGAACUGAGAAACGGUCCAGACUCCUACGGGAGGCAGCAGUAGGGAAUAUUCCGCAAUGGGCGAAAGCCUGACGGAGCAACGCCGCGUGAGUGAAGAAGGUUUUCGGAUCGUAAAGCUCUGUCAACAGGGACGAAACAAGACGGUACCUGAGAAGGAAGCCACGGCAAACUACGUGCCAGCAGCCGCCGUAACAC